rnacentral:lncRNA from 1 species
AUAUUAUAUUUAACAAUUCAUCUAAGGGAAAACGUCUACAAGAAUAUUUUUCCCACAUUAAUAAAAUAACGAGCGAGGUAUAAAUAAAACGAUUAUUCACACUUUUAAUUAUCUCAAUUUUCCUCAAUAUAUAUUUUUCUAAAAAAAUUAAUAUUUUAUUCAUGUAUAAAACUUUCAUUCCUCAAGAUUAUAAAGAAAAAAAAGGAGUCAAUGCACAAGGAUAACUUUACCCAGGAAGGAAAAGGUCCAUGUUCAAGAAAAGAUACCAGUUCAUUUCUAGACGUCAUAUUUAAAUCGCUUUACGAGUCCGGAGAAUAUUCGGAGGCAGAUAUUCGUGAUGAAAUAAAUACAAUGGUUUUUGCAGGAAGCGAUACUGCCGCUAAUACACUUUCAUUUUUAUUUUUAAUG